rnacentral:rRNA from 1 species
GACGAACGCUGGCGGCGUGCCUAAUACAUGCAAGUAGAACGCUGAAGGAGGAGCUUGCUUCUCCGGAUGAGUUGCGAACGGGUGAGUAACGCGUAGGUAACCUGCCUGGUAGCGGGGGAUAACUAUUGGAAACGAUAGCUAAUACCGCAUAAGAGUAGAUGUCGCAUGACAUUUGCUUAAAAGGUGCAACUGCACCACUACCAGAUGGACCUGCGUUGUAUUAGCUAGUUGGUGAGGUAACGGCUCACCAAGGCAACGAUACAUAGCCGACCUGAGAGGGGGAUCGGCCACACUGGGACUGGGACACGGCCCAGGCUCCUACGGGAAGCAGCAGUAGGGAAUCUUCGGAAAUGGACGGAAGUCUGACCGAGCAACGCCGCGGGAGUGAAGAAGGGUUUCGGGUCGUAAAGCUCUGUUGUAAGGGAAGAACGAGUGUGAGAGUGGAAAGUUCACACUGUGACGGUAUCUUACCAGAAAGGGACGGCUAACUACGUG